UAUGAAAAAGAUGGCGUGGUCUAUGUGGAUCUUUGGGAUUACCGCUGAAACUUUGUGGCAGCCAUUUGUUUUCGUCUCAUUCCACGUUGCAUCAAACAACCUCACGUUUAAUCAUCCUAGCUCAAAACUAGGCAAGAGCAAGCAUAUCACAACCAAACGACAAUGGAUCUGAGGAAUCGGUGUACAUUGUACCCCUUGCCUGUAGCCUGGAGUGUGUCAAUGAGGGGGACGUGGUUGUUGGAUUGGGGCUGCAAUUCCCUUGGAAAUGCACUAAUGCUCAGCAGAAAUCUUAUAUUCAUUCUUUUGUUGAACCAAUAAAUGGCGGAAAUAGA